CAUGGAUAUUCAGGAUGUCAUAAGGGUACUAUACUCUAACCCAGAUCCAUUUCAAAGAAACUGCACUAUUUGGGAUGUUACCUUUUGAUUCUGGGAUGGUGUUCGGAUCAGUUUUAGCAUUUAGAAUCAACCAGAGCACGAUAAAAAAAGGGGAAUCGACCAUAAGAGUGGUAGACAAUCUUAUUGCCAGGUGUUUAUAUUUUAUAACAAUGGACUGACAUAUUUCCGGAUAAUUGACAAACAUUAUUCUUAAUGUCUUGAUUCUUGUUCCUCCAGAUAAUUGAGCAGAGCGGGAUUCUGGACACUGGCAGCAACAUGAUGAUGCCACAACUUCCCUUCCAGCGAACCAUGGAGAGUGACUACUACUUCUAGCCUAAACAACCAACCUAUCAAGCUAUCUCGUGCAAGCGUUGGUCAAGUGAGUCCUUCUACAAAACAAAUUACCCAAAUCUUACAGAAAUAGCGACAGUUUGACAAGGCUACCCUUUAUGAAACCCCCAUAACCUUAUGUGUGCCACUUCAUGUUGUAAAAAGGAAAAAAGAAGAUCAGCAUCUGCCAACGUACA
rnacentral:lncRNA from 1 species